CAGGGGAAGUUGCCGGCCUCGAGGCUAUCCCUGGGCGCUGACCUGAAGCGUCGGGAGCCGGCGAAGAAUCGGCGUUUCUGUCUUUUCUUCAGUCCUCGCUUCUGGGAUGUCACGCGCAAUAGCUUGAGGGCGACUCUGCCUGUUCUUGGGUCCUGCCCGACCAUGUCUUAACGUGGAACCGGAGGCGGAGGCUGCUAAGUUUGCGGGAGAGGAGUCAUUGGGCCCGAAGACGGUUGCCAACACGUAGGGAAUGAGGCCGCUUGAAAAACUAAUGAAUCCCAUUCUCUCACGGAUUUUAGGAUUGUCCAGGUGUUCACAUUAAAGGAUGUGAAAGAGGUGAGCUCGUUACAGUCACCUCUGGAAGCAUUGUGGUCAAAUCCCACUGGUGGGUGGGUCCUGUGGUUCUUCUGGCUGAUGCCCUCUCCGAGCUCCUCUCGUCGUCACUGAGAAACCAGCUUCUCUCUGGCUUUCAGGUUUCCGGCCAUGGCUCUGCUGGCUCCAGUUGGCUCUGG